rnacentral:rRNA from 1 species
CAGUCGCCGCGGUAAUACAGAGGGUGCAAGCGUUAAUCGGAGUUACUGGGCGUAAAGGGCGCGUAGGCGGUUAUAUAAGUGAGAUGUGAAAUCCCUGGGCUUAACCUAGGAACUGCAUCUUAUACUGUAUGGCUAGAGUAUUGUAGAGGGUAGUGGAAUUUCCGGUGUAGCGGUGAAAUUCGUAGAUAUUAGGAAGAACACCAGUGGCGAAGGCGACUUUCUGGCUCGUAACUGACGCUGAGGCGCGAAAGCGUGGGGAGCAAACAGGAUUAGAGACCCCCGUAGUCCCUGUCUCUUAUAC